rnacentral:ribozyme from 1 species
GGCUUGACGGCCGUCACGUGGUGUUCGGAAAAGUUCUGGAGGGCAUGGACGUUGUUCGCAAGAUUGAAGGCAGCGCAACGGGUCGCCAGGAUCGUCCUGUUGCUGAGGUGAAGAUCGCUGACA